GCGUUAGAACCGGAGAGAAGUCCCCGACAAUUGUCCAUUCAAAAGCCCCAAUCUGCUAACCACAUCCUGUAUUUUAGUUUUUUGAAUAAAUAAGAUCCGGGACGAGAAAGAAAUCUAUUAACUUAUAUAUUUGUGUAUAUAUUUAUUUAUUUAUUUUCCCAGGAAAAUGUUAUAUAGUCUCUGAGAGUUUCGAUGCGAGGAAAAGAAAGUGAGAAAAAAAGGAAAUUUUCCCGGAAAAAAAAACGGAGUUCAAAAGAAUCAGAAAAAAAAAGUAACUGACCUUGCCGGUGUGUGCUGUGGAUUGUUGAAAGUUACUUAAAUUUGUUAUCCCUAUUCUUUUUCCGCUCGUGAUUCUUGCCCUCUAGGGUUUUCUUUUUUCCUUGAUCCUUCACAGCCUCAUAAUACUACAUUAUCGAAGUUAUCCACAUUCCAAUUUUUGUUUUUGUUUUUGGUUUUCAAAGAUUUAAAAUUUGGGGAUAAUCUUAGCUUAGGUUACAUAAUGUGAGUGCCUUUUGAAUUGGCGAAAUCGGGGUUUGUGACAAUUGAUGUGGAGGCAGAGGGGAUGAGGUGUGUGGCGGAGAUAUGGAGGUUAGAUCGGAGAGUAUACAGGUGCGGUGCGAUAAGCUGCCGGCUCCGGUGAUUCCGAGGACGCGGUUGCAGUUAUGGUUCAUACGAGUGUGCUCGAGCAUUGUGCUCUGGACGUGUUUGGUUCAGCUCGUGGCGGUCGGUGGGCUAUGGCAUCCGCAUCUGCUCUCUGGGAUCACCAAUCGGAUGUCCCAGAGGGCUCAACUUCGCGUCGAAGAGGUGCGAUCGCUGCCGCCUACUCUUCCCGCAAGAAAGUAUAAAAGUAAUGGUUUUCUUAGAGUGUCCUGCAAUGGAGGCUUGAAUCAAAUGCGUUCAGCAAUAUGUGACAUGGUGACUGUUGCUCGGCUUUUGAAUCUCACUUUGGUUAUUCCAGAGCUUGACAAGACAUCCUUCUGGGCUGAUCCUAGUAAUUUUGAGGACAUCUUUGAUGUGAGACAUUUCAUUGAUUCACUAAGAGAUGAAGUGCAAAUCAUAAAAAGGCUGCCAAAAAGGUUUAAUAGGAAAUAUGGAGUCGUACCAUUUGAGAUGCCUCCUGUUAGCUGGUCAAAUGAAAAAUAUUACUUACAACAGAUUCUUCCACUUUUUGGCAAGCAUAAGGUCUUGCACUUUAACAAAACAGAUGCACGUUUGGCAAACAAUGGGAUCCCACUUGAUCUUCAAAAACUCAGAUGUCAUGUUAAUUUCCAGGCACUGAAAUUCACUCCUCAGAUUGAGACUUUGGGGUACAAAUUGGUUCGUAUGCUUCAAGAAAAGGGACCUUUCCUGGCUCUGCAUCUAAGAUACGAGAUGGACAUGUUGGCUUUCUCAGGUUGUACUCAUGGCUGCACUGAGGAAGAAGCUGAGGAGCUCAAGCGGAUGAGGUAUACAUACCCUUGGUGGAGAGAGAAAGAGAUAGUGUCAGACAAGAGGAGAGCACAGGGCUUGUGUCCUCUGACACCAGAGGAGACAGCGUUAAUUUUGCAGGCAUUGGGUUUCGAUAAGAACACGCAGAUUUAUAUCGCAGCUGGUGAGAUUUAUGGCAGUGAUCGGAGACUCGCAGCACUAAGAGCUGCAUUUCCACGAACUGUGAAAAAGGAAAUGUUGCUAGCCCCAGGGGAGUUGCAACAAUUCCAGAAUCAUUCAUCUCAAAUGGCAGCUUUAGAUUUUAUGGUUUCAGUAGCCAGUAACACUUUCAUUCCCACCUACGAUGGAAACAUGGCAAAAGUUGUGGAAGGCCACCGCAGGUAUCUUGGGUUUAAAAAAACCAUCCAAUUGGAUCGGAAAAGGCUUGUAGAGUUAUUGGAUAUGCAUCAGAAUAGAACACUUUCAUGGAAUGAGUUCAUAGGCGCUGUUCGAUUGGCUCAUGAGAAAAGAAUGGGGCAGCCAAGGCGUCGUAGGGUUACUGUAGACAAGCCAAAGGAGGAAGAUUACUUCUAUGCAAAUCCGCAGGAGUGCCUUUGUGGGGGAACAAAUUGUGAUGACUUGCUAGGCCCUGGCAACUCAAGUAAAACAAGGUGACUGCAACCACUGAAUUUUUUCGUAGAUAUGGAGGAAGGCUACUAACCAUGCAUACGCGCUUAACCGAAGGUUUUGCACCGAACGGCAGAAAAGAACAAGUCGAAAGAUAUCCGAUAUUGUAGAUCAUUAAUCAUUAUCCAAAAAGUUGUCCCACUCGAAAGGCUUGUUCGGAAUCAGUGAUGAAUGGAAAUGAAGCUAGCCUUGCCUCCUGGCUUAUUUCCUUUUUGGGGCGUCCAUAUUUGAUGUGAUGGGCGGUCCUAGCCUACUUUUGGACUAGCUUUUGUGAACAAAAAAAAUAAAAUUAAGAGUUGGUUAAAAGUGACACAUCGACAUUAUUGAAAUAAUUGUGAGGGAAAAUGUGAUAUAUAACAUUUUUCAAAUUUUUGACAUGAUUUGUUGUAGUCAUGCAAUCCAAGGGCUUGUAGACAUUUUAAUUAAGCUUAAUUUGUAAUGUACAUAUCACUGGAGAGUGAUUUAGUUAUGGUCUGGUUGAUCAUGCGCCAUACUUGGAAAAAUCUAUGAACAUUAUCCAUUUGAUGAUGUCA